rnacentral:pre_miRNA from 1 species
UUUGUACUCCCUCUGUCCCAAAAUUCUUGUCUUAAAUUUGUCUAAAUACGGAUGUAUCUAAUUACAUUUUAGUGUUAGAUACAUUUGUAUCUAAACAAAUGUAAGACCAGAAUUUUGGGACGGAGGGAAUACUAC